UAGGGAAUCUUCGGCAAUGGACGGAAGUCUGACCGAGCAACGCCGCGUGAGUGAAGAAGGUUUUCGGAUCGUAAAGCUCUGUUGUAAGAGAAGAACGAGUGUGAGAGUGGAAAGUUCACACUGUGACGGUAUCUUACCAGAAAGGGACGGCUAACUACGUGCCAGCAGCCGCGGUAAUACGUAGGUCCCGAGCGUUGUCCGGAUUUAUUGGGCGUAAAGCGAGCGCAGGCGGUUAGAUAAGUCUGAAGUUAAAGGCUGUGGCUUAACCAUAGUAGGCUUUGGAAACUGUUUAACUUGAGUGCAAGAGGGGAGAGUGGAAUUCCAUGUGUAGCGGUGAAAUGCGUAGAUAUAUGGAGGAACACCGGUGGCGAAAGCGGCUCUCUGGCUUGUAACUGACGCUGAGGCUCGAAAGCGUGGGGAGCAAACAGGAUUAGAUACCCUGGUAGUCCACGCUGUAAACGAUGAGUGCUAGGUGUUAGACCCUUUCCGGGGUUUAGUGCCGUAGCUAACGCAUUAAAGCACUCCGCCUGGGGAGUACGACCGCAAGGUUG
rnacentral:rRNA from 1 species